AAUGCUGUGACGCCUUCUCAUGAAUAAAAUGGAUAUAGAAAAAGGAAAAAAAAAAAUCAACACACAACAUGCCUCAUGUUUUUAAUUAAACAACCAAUAUUUCUGCUUUUUCUGAGAUUAAAAUAAGAAUAUGCCGCUUGCUUUUUAAUAUAUUAAGUAGGUUUGCAGAAUCAAAGUAAUGAGCUCCAUAUAUAUUAUGUCCUAUAUAAUAAAUCAAAUCACAUCCUAGAAGUGAAUGGAAACUAUAAUUGUCUAAUUGCAUCUACUUGACUUCGCCCUUCAAAUCCACUUAAAAAGCUUUACCGGUUUCUUUUCCGACUGGUUAGCGAUUAUAACAGAAUUAGUCUUUUAUACUAAGAGACAUCAUUAACAAACACAAAAAGGUAACAAGGAAGAAGAAAAUCCCACCAUAUUUCCCCCUUUUUAUUCCUUAAAAAAGAACACUACUGCUGCUGAAGGCAUCUGUGAAAAAUGGCUAAGUUAAUAAUAUCAAAUACAUUCAAAAGAAGAAAACCUAAGAUUUCGGUCAUGAAAGCACACAGUUACUUCUGUUUUUUUUUUCCUUGUUCUUGUUCUGAAAUUUCUGUAUAACCAAUCAUUCGCCUUUAAUGGUCGAAAUGCUUUAAAAUUUUCUUUCUACAACAAAUGUAUUAUUGACUUCUUCAAGUAAUUAUUUUGACCUUUUUUUUUUCUUCUCCCCCUUUCCAUUUCAUUACUUUGCAAUAUUUUAUAUUUUCCCUUAUUUAGUUUGUAAUUAUUUUUUAAUCAACCUAAACAAAAAAAGAAUUACCUCAAUCUUGAAACCAAAGACUAUUUUUCACAAACACUUCUGUCAAUUGCUCUUUAAAGUUCCCUUUCUCUCUCUCUCCCUCUCCAUUAUAUAUGAAUAGGCGUUCAUGGAGAAUAGAGUCGGAAAUUAAAAUACAGGAGUUUUCUUAGGACGAGUUGUUUUUAUUUUUUAUACGUAUUCAUGAUUCUGCAAGUUGAAAAGAAAGGAAAACUUGGAUAGUUAGAAAUGCUUAGUACUUUCCUCGCUUUUUUAAAAAAUUUUCUUUUCGAUUUUGACUUCACGAAAAGAAUAUCUUCAGAUCUUUAUUCCUCACAAAGUUAAACGUUUUUGGAGAAUCCUCAUCUCUAAAUUGCUAAAAACACUCUGAAAAUAAGUCGAAGCGGAUUAAUUGCGGGAAGUGGUCAAGUUAAUAAUUUUUUUUCCUUAUUGAAUAGUAAAUCUACGAUGUAUGAAAAGAAAGAAAAAACUCGUCCUAGAUUUAGUGUUUUAGGCUCAUUAAUUUCCGACUCUAAUUCUACAGGAAUGCCUAACAUGAUGGGCCAUAUCCAACAACCAAGUCUCGUCCGUUAAGUUGUUCCACACACACAUACACGCACAUAUAAAAUAUCUUACAUAGUCGAGUAAUUGUCAGCUGCUAUCUAUCGGUUAAAAAGAAAAUAAAUGUUUUGAAUUUAAAAAAAAAAACAUACUUGUUUUCUUAUUUAUUACCAUUAUUUCAAAUACUUCAAAAAUUGCUGGUCUUGUUGCCCAAAAUUAGAAAUUACUGUUAUUUCAUUAAUGGAUUGGUAAAAUGGUUAGAACGUCGGAGAUAAUACUUAACGGUAUUUCGACCGGCUCUCUUACGAUUCCGGGUUCUAACCCUGCCGGUGUCAGCUUUGAUUUUGUUUUAAGUUCUAUAAAACUAAAGUGCCAGUCACGCAUUGUGAUCGAUAAUAUAAUCGAUUACCCUCCUCCAAAUUUCUGGUCUUGUUCUUUUAAAGCUGGUGAAUUGUGCAAUCGUUGAUCGUCGGCAAAGGUACCUUGCGGUAUUUGCAUCGAAUCAACGAUCACGUUUUUUUUUUUUUUUUUUUUUUUUUUUUGUGGUCGAAGUAAAACGUCGUCCAGCUUAACGCCUUAAAUUCUGUUUCAAGCAUUUUGUGGGGUAAUCUCAUGUGAUAGAAUGGACUGGCUUUCAGAAUAGCUAUCUUUAUCUAAUAAAAAAAAGGAAAAGAGCAACGAAUUGGAUGAUUCUUUUGCUUCUAUAGAAGAAUUUUCUCUUUCUUUUUUUGGCUUCCGCUCCUUUUCGAUUCCGUGCUCUUUUCCUAUCACAACAGUCUCACAAGAUGGAUGAAAUAGUUAGAGAGAAAGAAUUCACACAUUUCAGCUACACUAAGAUCGUAACUUCAUGGUAAACAGGAAACAGUUCAUCAGGAUAAAAGUACAAAAUGCUUGUAAUUAAUAUUUGUAAUUAAUUUUGAAAAGCCUCUGUCGGUGUAUGUGUGUGUAAUAUAUAUAUAUAUCUUCGUACACGCACGCAUCAGGGCAAAUUACUUGUAGUCGCAUCUAUCAGUUUAAUGUCAGUCUCCCAGCAUCACCAAUGAAUCCACCACAACUAGCUUACACCCACGAGGCUUCGCCACUUAUUUCGUCAGUGUUUUAUUUUAAAUGAGAUUUCAAACUUUAAGGGCAAAACCUAUUUAGUAACAAUGUGAGCGGCUUCCAUUGUGUGUGUGUGUAAUAUUUAAACCCAUGUAUAUUGGAAUAUAGUCUUUGUACAGUAACUAAAGAAAGGCAACAACUCAAGUUCCAUGUCUGGACAAACUACAUUCAUGAGACACGUGACUUUUUAUCGCAACGUUUGCAUUCUACUGGCGUGUACAAAUGGCUGCCAAUAUUUGAAUGUGUAAAUGUAUAUACAUGUUUUUGAAUUUAUGUAUAUGCAUUUAGAUAUAUAUAAUGGUUAUAUAUAUGUCCACUUUCCAUGCUGGCAAGAGUUAAGCGAUUCUGAGAAGGUGGAUUGCAUCGUGCUUCGUUCGAUGUGUCAAUCAGUCUUUUCAUGGUUUCUAUUCCGUUCUUAAUGUAGAAUAUAAUGCCUAGCUUCAAAUAAGUGUAUAUAAGCAUAUAUAGAUGUGUUUAUGCGUGUCUACAUAUUGUGAACAUAUGUAAAAUACACAAUACGUAUUAAAACAUGGCAUCUUGUACAACCUUUCAUAGAAUUAAAUCGCUAAAAUGGUUGGUUUCAGAUAAUUUACCGUAAUGAAAUGGGCUUUCAUGUUUUUAAAUUAAGGAAAGGUGAAGAUCACAUCAGCAUGGUGCUUCCAUACUAUCACCGCAACCAACCAUUGCUUGUUUAACCUCUGGUCAAGUUCCGUAGCCGACCUAGGGCUAAACAUCAUGAUCAUGAGACAUUCCAGUGACCUUCCCUUUCUAUCCUUCCUCACUGUCAAACAAUAUAUUUGCUACUGUAACUACAUGACGUAAUUUUUCCCGUUAUUCCUGGACUGCAGAAUGUCAUAUGAGGUACGAUACGGACUGUUGUUUCUAGCGGGUUUACUGACACAUAGAAAGCAUCUUCAUUGGUUCUUGCGCGCCAACCGUCAUUGUCUGGCGAGAGACGAAGCGAAGCUGCCGCAGCUUCUCCAUCUUCUGAUAAAUGGAAUAGGAAUCGUUAUUAAAAAGUAACUUCUAGUAGCAUUGUAAUAUGGCUAUACACAUACAUAUUUAACAACUAGGAAUUUAUUCAAUUAACCGUGAUUAAUCAUUCCAGUAUCUUACGAUCGUGUCCUGAGACUAGGGUGUGGUCUAAAGAUUAUUUUGGCGCCUAUUUCUAGCUGGUCGUCGUGUGACCACGUAGUUUCCGAUUUCUUUUUUUUUUUUUUUCAUGGUUUGAUGAUAAUGGAUGUUCUUCCAUCAUAUAUGCGGAAAAGGGGACAGAUUAUAUAAGACCUAACAAUUUGGUGUCCUUUCUUGGCUUUUGUUACUUGGUAACUUAGUGAAAUGUAGAUUUCAAAAAAGUUUAAGUGGUUUAAAGAACACAGUUGGAACGGGGCCUGAUAGAUUGAUCCGAAACUUAUCCAAAAUGUUGUCUUAAUGUUAUAAACACGAUCGGAAUCUACACUCUCGAAUAGUCUUCUCUGCAAAAUUUCAUUUAAAAAAAAUCUGCACUAUAAGGAAAAUUCAGGGGAAAUCCAUGGGGCACCAAAGCGUAGUUAUGCCAUAUGAAGUGACAGGGUAGCCACGUUUGGAACAUCUUCGCAUAUGUCUGCUGCUCAAGUUAAUUAGCAAUCAAAUAUCAUCCCGAUCUAUCAUUAAAUAAUGUCCUUGGUUUCUAAAAUAAAGAGAGGCAGUGUAGUCACGACUCGAAACCUUUUGGUCAUAGGUCAAACUAUAUAUAGCGUUUUGAAAAUUAUGUAGAAAGAUAUUUUAUCGCUAGAAUAUCUGCAUUAUAUGCCAAAAAAAAUUUUUUGAAACCGUUUCCAUGUCCUAAUGACUUGAAUUCUAAUGAAAUUAACUCUUCAGUUCUAAUUAGAUUUUAUUUUUUUCGUAUUGUUUCUUUAUCAGUUUUUUUUUUCUUCAAUACAUUUUCAUCAUUUUGUUUAAUAGACAGAAAUAUUCAGUUAUUUCAUGAUAUUAUGUACUUCAAAUUACACUGCUGUGUGUUUAAGAAGGAAAUCGGUAAUCCCCCCCCCCCUCCUCUCCCACUUAAAGUUCUAGAAUCUACUGAACAUGACGCCAUGUUGCUUACUUUACAAUAUUACCAUUUAGUCACCAACAUCUUUCUUCAUACAAACCUACUACAGACAUUACCGCUGCUCAGCAGUCAUUUUGUUCGGUUUAUAUAGUUUUUAAUCGUCGAUAUCGUAUUGUUUAGCCCCGAAUCUGAAUAAAAUCUGUACAACAGACCUAAGCUAAGCUCCAAGGCAUUUUUACCAGUCCUACCUACUAUCCGUUUAUUUAGACACGACGUGUAAUCUCAGACUGCCAUUAUUAUUAUUAAUCCAAGUGUUUCCUACCUACUAAUAAUAUAUACAUCAAAUCUGCUGCUCGGUCAUUAUUUCAUGAGACUUGUUUUAAAUCGAUAUCGUUGUUGUUUAGCCCCAACCACAUCCAAUAAGCCAUUCCUUAUUUCAAAGACAGUAGAAGAGAUUUGGCUGCUGUGUUUAGUAUUCCCAGCAACCGUUCUGUGGCUCACUCGCGCGUUUGCUCGUAUUCUCGGCUCUGAAUAAAGCAGCGUUUUAAUGAUCAACUGGCGUUCCAGUAGUGACCAUCACGUUUUAGGUGGAAGGUUACAAGUAUAAUGACUAAGUCAUUGUUGCAUAUAGUUUCCACCCGUGUCCAUCCCGUCUAUUCGGUUUAAAUCUAAAACUGCUGUUGUGUCGUUCUUUCUACGUAUCUUUUCAAACGAUUGAUGGAGAUGAGGAAGUACCGGGGUCGAUUAUAAAUUGCUCUUUGAAUCCUAGGAGGCCGCAUUCCGGCAGAAGAAUAAAUAUAUAAAAUGUGUAUAAGCGUUAUUUAAAACCUACCCUCUAUCUAGUGCAAUUCAUCCCCGUUUUUAUUCAGGGUGUGCAAUCUGAAUGAUGCGGCCUCUUUCUACAACGGCGGUCAGCAACCUGGGUAUUAUAGAAGCUUCUUCCCCCGCAUUUCAUUCAUUAGAUCGUUUGUCAUUGCGGCUUUUUAAGUUUUUGCUGUGUAAAGGUCAAAUUUUGAAUGAAAACCUACAUAUCUUUUUUAAUUCGUUAAUAAUUUAGCAGCUAUCAUUUUGAUGGUUUCUCAAGCCCCCAUCCUCCCUCUAACUGCCCGGGGGUAGCUUUCUUUUAUUAUUUAAUAUUAAGUUUCUAAUUUAGGCACAAAGCCAGCAAUUUUAAGAGGAAACGGUGGGGGUCAGUCUACACCAACGACCCCCGGAAUGAUAAAAACGAAGUUUUAUUCCGGCAAGAUUUGAAUUCGGAAGCGUAAAAGUGCCGGAGAAUUUUAAGUUUUUAAUAUUUUGAUUUAAAAAAAAAAUGUUCGCCCACAGAUUUGUUUUUCGGGAUUUUCUUUUAAAAUUUAUUUAUUAUAAUUGUUAAAAAUACCAAUUGUAUGACAGCUUUGAUCGUUCCAUCCUUGGCCAUCUCGUCUACACAGACCAGUUCGUCAAAGCUGGAAUCCUUUUCUAUAUUCAUUGUCUCUUUCUCUCUUUUUUUAAAGACAGGAGGAUGAAUUGGUUUUGCUGUUAUUUCUAGCGCAUCAAACGAUUGACCACACAGUAGGAUGUGAUUUGAGGGAGAUUUGACUGCUGUUUCUCGGAGUUUGAAAGACUAGAAUGUUGGUGAAGCAAAUUUAGUGUUUAGAGGACCAAGUCAUCGUCACAGUUUAAACGUCCAUUUAUCCCUGGUUGCAUAAGUCAGAUGAUGGUUGUUACCAGUUGGGGAAAUUUCUCUACAGCCAGAUGUCCUUCCUGUUGCCAUGUUUUUACUAUAACCUCACUUGUAAGACAGUUGAUGCUCAUUCACAAAUAUUAAUGUAUCACAACAAGGCUACACACGCAUACAUUGUCUAGCAAAUCCAAUCAAAUGAUCUGAUUGGCUCACGGCUACAAUGUCCUGGGUGUCAUUCUGUGUGGACUAUAUCUAAAACUUAGAGGGAUGGAAAACCUGCUUCUUAAACCUAAUACUUAUUCUAUCAGUCUCUUUUGCAAAACUGCUAAGUUGCAGGGAUGUAAACACACCAACACUGGUUGUCAAAUGGGGGGGUGGGGCAAAGCCAUACAUAGAUAUAUACACAACAGGCUUCUUUCAGAUUCUGUGUACCAAAACCACUCACAAGUCAGCCAGUACUGGCAUCAACCAUGCUUGAAUGGUGUUUUUUAUGUGCCACUGGCGUGAGAACGAGUCAGGUGGCACUGGCAAUGACCAUGCUCAAAUGAUGCUUUUUAUGUGCCAUCAGCACAGGACUAGUCAGCCAGCACUGGCAUCAACCAUGUUCAAAUGGUGCUUUGUACAUGCCACCAGCAUGGACAAAAUCCAACGCACAUAGACAAGGUAUGUGUGUUGUUAGUUCGUGAGUUGGCUGUCUUUUUCGGCGUAAGAGACUAUAUUCUGUAUGCACCUGGUGUAGAAAAAAUAAAGCAAUCCAAAAGUAAGUCAGAGUGAAACUAGACAACUCACAUAGGUCCUUUCUCAGAGCAACAGACAUCGAUGUUUCGUCAUUUAUGUGUGUGUGUGUGUGUGUGGAGUCCUCAGCCACUUGUGUGUUAACUUCAUGAGCAGGCUGGGAAGGUCAGAUCAACUGGAACACUUGUCUUUGUAACUGACGCUGUGUCAAUAAAUAUGUAUACACCCGUCUAA